rnacentral:rRNA from 1 species
AUUGAACGCUGGCGGCAUGCCUUACACAUGCAAGUCGAACGGUAACGCGGGGCAACCUGGCGACGAGUGGCGAACGGGUGAGUAAUGCAUCGGAACGUGCCCAGUAGUGGGGGAUAGCCCGGCGAAAGCCGGAUUAAUACCGCAUACGACCUACGGGUGAAAGGGGGGGAUCGCAAGACCUCUCGCUAUUGGAGCGGCCGAUGUCAGAUUAGGUAGUUGGUGGGGUAAAGGCCUACCAAGCCGACGAUCUGUAGCUGGUCUGAGAGGAGGACCCACCACACUGGGACUGCGACACGGCACAGACUCCUACGGGAGGCAGCAGUGGGGAAUUUUGGACAAUGGGCGCAAGCCUGAUUCAGCCAUGCCGCGUGCGGGAAGAAGGCCUUCGGGUUGUAAACCGCUUUUGUCAGGGAAGAAAUCUUCUGAGUUAAUACCUCGGGAGGAUGACGGUACCUGAAGAAUAAGCACCGGCUAACUACGUGCCAGCCGCCGCCGUAACAC